rnacentral:rRNA from 1 species
UAUGAUAUGCUUUGUUCAAAGAUUAAGCCAUGCAUGUUUGAGUAUAUUGAUUUAUACAAGAGAAACUGCGUACAGCUCAUUAUAUCAGUUAUUAUUUCUUUGAAGAUGACUUUACUACAUGGAUACCCGUAGUAAUUCUAGAGCUAAUACAUGCGCAAAACGUUUCUCUCUCGCAGGGGGACGUGUGUUUAUUAGAUUUUGAGCCUGGCUGUGGGGGUCAAACCUCACGGUUUAAAGGUGAAUCACGGUAACCGUCGAAUCCAGGAUUCAGUUCUUGG